CACAGUUUCCUCCAGGCCCCACCAGCUUCUCUGCUGCAGGGAGUUUACCAGGAAACAGGUGCACAAAAGGAAGAACUUGCUGAGGCCCUGGCAAACUGGAAACUCAAUCCAGGUGGCCAAGGUCUAACCUUCCCCUACACCAGACACUGAGAUCUUCCCCGGCGGCUCUGAUCUGGGGGCUCCCUGUAGGUGCAAAGACCUGGUUCUUCAGACUCCAUCCAUGGAAGGAGGGAACACCAGUCGCAG
rnacentral:lncRNA from 1 species